rnacentral:tRNA from 1 species
ACUUAAUUAUUAUAAUAAGUAUAUUAAGCUUCCAACUUAAUGGUUCAUUUAAUUGAAUUAAGUA